GACGGAGGAUGCAAGCGUUAUCCGGAAUGAUUGGGCGUAAAGCGUCCGCAGGUGGCAGUUCAAGUCUGCUGUCAAAGACCGGGGCUUAACUUCGGAAAGGCAGUGGAAACUGAACAGCUAGAGUAUGGUAGGGGCAGAGGGAAUUCCUGGUGUAGCGGUGAAAUGCGUAGAGAUCAGGAAGAACACCCGUGGCGAAAGCGGCUCUCUGGAACGGUACUGACGCUGAGGAGCGAAAGCGUGGGGAGCGAACAGG
rnacentral:rRNA from 1 species